GAUGAACGCUGGCGGCGUGCCUAAUACAUGCAAGUCGAGCGAAGCGGGGACGGGUGAGUAACACGUAGAUAACCUCCUAUAAGACUGGGGUAACUUCGGGAAACCGGAGCUAAACCGGAUCCUUAGAGAUAGAUUCGCGCUGCAUUAGCUAGUUGGUACGUUAACGGCUUACAAAGGCAACGAUGCAUAGCCGACCUGAGAGUGUGAUCGGCCACACUGGAACUGAGACACGGUCCAGACUCCUACGGGAGGCAGCAGUAGGGAAUCUUCCGCAAUGGGCGAAAGCCUGACGCAGCAACGCCGCGUGAGUGAUGAAGGUCUUCGGAUCGUAAAACGCUGUUAUUAGGGAAGCGGUACCUAAUCAGAAAGCCACGGCUAACUACGUGCCAGCAGCCGCGGUAAUAC
rnacentral:rRNA from 1 species